CGCAUCUGUGCAUGCAGCAUAUCAAUAAGCGGAGGAAAAGAAACUAACAAGGAUUCCCCUAGUAACGGCGAGUGAAGCGGGAAGAGCUCAAAUUUGAAAUCUUAAAGGGUUUCCCUUUACGAAUUGUAGUUUAAAGAAGUGUUUUCUGUUGAGGUUUUGGUAAAAGUUCUUUGGAAUAGGACAUCAUAGAGGGUGAGAAUCCCGUAUUUGACCUUUACUUUCAACUUUGUGAUACACUUCCAAAGAGUCGGAUUGUUUGGGAAUGCAGUCCAAAAUGGGUGGUAAAUUUCAUCUAAAGCUAAAUAUUGGCGAGAGACCGAUAGCGAACAAGUACCGUGAGGGAAAGAUGAAAAGAACUUUGAAAAGAGAGUUAAACAGUACGUGAAAUUGUCAAAAGGGAAGCGUUUGACACCAGUGUUGUUUUUCUGAAAAUCAAUUAAAGAACUGUUUAUGCUAAGCUGUUUAGACUUUAUCAGCUAUCUGUUUAGUUUUGAGCUUUUCUUUAAUGCACUUUUCAGUUAACAAGUCAACAUCAAUUUCUUUUGCUGUAAAAAAGCUUGAGGAAGGUGGCUUGAGAUUCGUCUUAAGUGUUUAUAGCCUCUUGCCUAUGCAGUCGGAGAGAUUGAGGUCUGCAGCGUAGAUCCUUCGGGGCUAAAUGCAUUUGUGCUAAGUUAUAGCAUUUUAUAGACAACUUGUUGACUAUGAUUUGUCUUGUAGCUUACUCGCUUAUGUUAUUUUACCUACGCUUAGGAUGUUGAGUCGUAGAGCACGCAG
rnacentral:rRNA from 1 species